GAGGUUGUAGCUAAGUGGUAGAGCACUUGCCUUGCAUGCAUGAGGCCCUGGGUUCAAGCCUCAGCACCACA
rnacentral:tRNA from 1 species